CCACCUCCACCUCCACCUCCACCAUCAACAUCCUCAAAAUCCCCACCAUCCCCAUCCCAUCCUGCACCACAAUCGCGAUCACCUCCAGCACGAAAAUCACCACCACCUCGACGCGUAUCACCAACUCCACCACGUUCUAUAAGCAGUCCGCCGCCGUCACCUAGGCAUGCGUUCCGCGGCAGCUCCUCAAACGGGAGCAGGACGGGGCAGCAAUCACCGUCAUCAACAAUGCGAAAUGGUCAUGCGAUGAACACAGGGCAGAAGAUUGGG
rnacentral:misc_RNA from 1 species